rnacentral:rRNA from 1 species
UACGGAGGAUCCAAGCGUUAUCCGGAAUCAUUGGGUUUAAAGGGUCCGUAGGCGGUUUAGUAAGUCAGUGGUGAAAGCCCAUCGCUCAACGGUGGAACGGCCAUUGAUACUGCUAGACUUGAAUUAUUAGGAAGUAACUAGAAUAUGUAGGUGUAGCGGUGAAAUGCUUAGAGAUUACAUGGAAUAUCAAUUGCGAAGGCAGGU